AUGUUGAUAUCAACCUUCUGCAAGAAUGAGGAUUUUGAUGGAGCAGUUCAAGUCUUGAGGGAAAUGAUUGAGAGAUCUAUGACUCCUGAUUCAGGCAUCUUAUCUGAAGUUUUUGUUGGACUUUGUCAGUGUGGAAAAAGUCAAUUGGCAAAGAUGUUAUGCAGUGAGAUGGAAGCUAUACAUCUUAUUCCAGCAGGUUUUGAAAAAUCCAAAACCAUCAACUUUGGAGCUGAGAAUGAGAACAAAGCAUCUGGGGAUAACUGGCAUAAUAAGGGGUCUUCAAUUCAUGGGGUCAAUAGUGUGAUAGGUUCGACAUGUAUGGACAACUCUUUUGUUGUGUUACCAAAGCAAAAACCCCAGCAGCAGCCACAAGCGAUUCCUCCUCGUUCUCAUGCUGGGGCUGGAGCUGUCCAGUCAGAUAUUAGCCAGCCUGGGAGACAAUGUAAGAAUUAUUUCUGGGUUACCUUCUCCUGAAGGAUGAUCCAAUGUUCCUUUGCAGCCUCACUACUUGGAGUUCUACUUGACUAUAACUGUGCUCAAACUUGCAUUUGAGAUUGCCACAAUUCAGACCCAGGUUGAGCAACCUUUAUGUCUUGAAUGCAUGAGAGCGUUGUCUGACAGACUUGACAAGGAGGUUGAAGAUGUGAACGGGGGACAUUGAAGCAUAUGAGGCAUAUCUUAAGCGCUUGGAGGGAGAGGCACACGAUGUUCUUAGUGAGGCUGAUUUUCUUAAGGAGAAAUUAUAGGUGCUUACUCAGCAACCGGAUCUAGUCCAUUAAUCACUUUGUUGGACAUGCUUUUGCCUUUGAUUUAUAGGAAGUUAGUCAGCAUCUUUUUAAAAGAAUUUACCAUAAUUUGGUGGUAGACAUGGUUGACCAGUUCUUCACUUCUGAGUGAGUAUUGAAUUUAGUGAUGAAAUUUAUCGAUCCACGCUGGUAUCUAAAGACAUUUGAGUGUUAAUGUUAUUAUCAUAAGUGCUACAACAAUGUGAUAUCAUGUUAUGUUUGGAAGUACAGGGGAAAAGAGUAGAGCGGAAUGGUUACCCUCUAUCUUGUUUAGAUGUUUUUAAAAUUAAGUAAGAGGAAGGGAAUAAUUAGUCAUUCCCUUUGUUUUGAUGUAUUAAAAUUAGGAUAGGAAAAAGAGGAAAUAAUUAAAUAUAUUUAAACAGACAAUUUUAUCCCUAUUUGA